rnacentral:rRNA from 1 species
UACAGAGGGUGCGAGCGUUAAUCGGAAUUACUGGGCGUAAAGCGUGCGUAGACGGUUAUGUAAGUCAGAUGUGAAAGCCCCGGGCUCAACCUGGGAAUGGCAUUGGAAACUGGCGGGCUUGAGUGUGGCAGAGGGGGGGUGAAUUCCGCGUGUAGCAGUGAAAUGCGUAGAGAUGCGGAGGAACACCGAUGGCGAAGGCAGCCCCCCUGGGCUGACACUGACGCUCAGGCACGAAAGCGUGGGGAGCAAACAGG